AAGCAACCCAUUGCCACCAGCCGCAAAGGAUGGUGUAAUGGACCUGUGUCUCUGAAGGAAACAAAGGGAAUAGACUGCAGCUUUCAAGCAGAACUAAAAGGAGAGGGUGCUGAAUUUGGGGUGCUGUAGGUCAUGGAUGUAGGUAAGGGACGCGCGUGGCGCUGUGGGUUAAACCACAGAGCCUAGGACUUGACGAUCAGAAGGUUGGCGGUUUGAAUCCCCGCGACAGGGUGAGCUCCCGUUGCUCGGUCCCUGCUCCUGCCAACCUAGCAGUUCAAAAGCACAUCAAAGUGCAAGUAGAUAAAUAGGUACCGCUCCGGUGGGAAGGUAAACGGCGUUUCCGUGUGCUGCUCUGGUUCGCCAGAAGCGGCUUAGUCAUGCUGGCCACAUGACCAGGAAGCUGUACGCUGGCUCCCUCGGCCAAUAAAGCGAGAUGAGCGCCGCAACCCCAGAGUCAGUCACGACUGGACCUAAUGGUCAGGGGUCCCUUUACCUAGGUCAUGGAUUGCCAACAUGCUUUUCCCAGGUACACAUGUGCUCAGCAAAGGCAUACCUAGGGGUCAGUGAAACCAGCCCAGAAAUCUCUCCAUGAAGGUCACAAGUUUAGACAAAAACUCGGAGCUGAAUAGUAGGAGAAAUGACAAGGAAGCAUGAAGGUAAACCGCUGGAGAUUAUGGAGCUCAUGACGUAAAUGUGUGUGGCAACACUUCGCCACUGUCACAGCUGGAUCAAAUGCUAGAGAACUGGGGGGGUUUUCUGGGGAGGUGGCACUGAUACAGUUCCUUGCCAAGAGCAGAAGGGACUCUAGGCAUACCUAUGGUGCUGAAAGAGGCCUUCCUCUCCCAAUUUCCAUUGAAAUUAGGCUUGGUUUGAAAGACGUCUUCUAUUGCAGCCAAUAGAAGGCUUUCCCCAAGCCUAAUUGAGAGGGUGGGCGUGGUUGAGGUGUACACACUGUUGCAGUGUAGGCACUUUGCAUGCACCUCCCCAUGGUCUCUCUGGUUUGCAGAUGAGGUCCAAAGGGUUGGUGAUCCCCCGCUGUGGCAUAGAGUGGGUUGCCAGUGUCUGGGGCAAGGCAAGUAUCCUCUGCAACACCCGAUAGGCUGGAAUGAAGAGGCAAUAGCUCAGCAACCUACCUGAGUGGCAGCUGUGGUGCCCUGUGAGGGUCGAGCACAGCGGAGAGAGGGUUGGGGGAUUGGUUGGGAGCAGAUAUCUUUCUAAAACCCGUGCAGAGGGCACCAAAGCAACUGGCCAUCAUCCAAAUUCACUCCUUAGUCCUCCCACAGAACAUUAGGAGAUUCUCUAUAUGAGGGGGAGGCCAUACUAUCUAUCAUCUAUCUAGCUAUCUAUAGUCUAACAGUAUUGCAAGGGGGCUGGCUGUGUCUUUCUGGAGAUCUGAUGUGAGAGCAGAGGACUUUGGCUACCUCUUGGGAGCCUCUUAUGCUUUUCCUCCAUCUAUGCUCACCUUGUACCAUCUAUGAACAUGCACUAAUGUUGAAAAAUGCCAAUGAACCUGAAAUAUACUCAGAGUCCUGUAGUGAUUUCAUGCUCUUUAAUGCAGCUUGUAAAACAGUGAUUGAAUUGCCCCCCAAACCUCAGGCUUUUAUAUACAUUAUUUAUACAAUGAAUCCUGUCUGAUUGGCUGAGUCUGCUUCCCUUCUGGAGCCUGAUUGGUCUUUUCCUGCAAGCCAAUCAGUUGUUGCAUUCUAGGAUCCUACUUGCCUAUUGUUCUAGGAUCCAAGCUUAGUACAUAACAGAACCUCUAGUUACCUUCUUCAAAAGAAGCCAGCUUAAACAAGGUGCUGUGCCCCAGAACCUCUUGCUGUACAGAGAAGAAGAGAAGGCCUAACAAUAUGAUCUUCUGCCUGAAUGAAAGCGGUAUCACUUUUUCCUUUGAACGAAAUACCACCAUCUCUACCCAAAAAAAAAAAAAAGCCCUGUUAAGAAUGAAAUGUGCUGAUGGUUCUCUCCACCCACCCAUUUUCUGGGUCUCCCUCUCCCCGCCCCCCAGGGGAACUAGGAUGCAAAAAUAGAGAAGCAAAAAAGACAGCUAAACAACACAAUUACAGAAACGUCAACUGAAAAGUAUGUUGUUGUUGUUGUUUUUCCCUGUGGUGCUUACUACCAGAUAAGUAUGCAUAGAAUUUUAGUUCCAUGCUGAUUUUUGCUUCCAUGUGAAAACAGGCUGAUGUGGGUAAUUUCAAAGAAAAUCACUUAUUUAGUGUGGUACAAGGCAAGAUAAAAAGAUUACAGUUAAUGAGGGUACCAGGUUCAUUUCAGCUGUCACUUUCUGAAUCUGACAAGAUUAGUCAUUUCAUUAAUUUUUUCCUUACAACAAAAGCAUGCCAUAAUUACGUGUAUACCUGCUUGCUUACAAAAAAAAUCCCCCCUCUCUCCUGGAAGAGUAACAAUUAACGUCAUUAGCCUCCCAGUUUGUCAGUUGAUUAGACUGACAGUAGUUUGUCUGUUUUUUCAUCCACAGAUACAGAUUUUUAAAAAUUGGUUUGACACAUGGUAUUUCUUAAUUAGACAUCAGUGUAAUUUGGGGGGAGGAGAGAAAAAGUGUCAAUCUUCCCCUAGUUCAGGAUUCUAAUGAAAGCCAUUUGCUACGAAUAAAAUGGCUUCCACAUGAUGGCGGCAGAAGGCAGGCCACUAUCUUUUUAUUUGCAAAAAUAUUUAUCUACCGCUAUGUCAUAGAAAAUAUAUAUCACAGCAGUUUACAACAAUAUAAAGACUUAAAACCAGACACUAGAAUCAUAAAAAGUUAAAAGCAUUAAUAAUAAUAAAGUAAAAACAAGCAUUCAAAGUCUGAGAGAGGAGGCCAUCUAUGUCCCUCCCCAUUUCUCAGCUAGCAAGCUAGAUUUCCUUUCAGACUUGGUGGGAGGUUCGAGCUCUCUCCACCUAUGUGUCAGAGACUGUGCUGAGGAGGGCUGCACUGAGGAAGAAUGGUGGGCGCCACCCCCUCCCCCUGAUUCUGAUCCUGCAUCUUCCCAGGAGCAGGAGAACAGCAUAGAUUUGGAAGAGUGGUUUGCAGAGGGGCAUAGUUCAGAAGGCAGAAGCUGGGAUAUACUGGAUGGGGAACAGCUAGGAGAAGAAACACUGGAAAAGAGAGGGUUAACAGAUUCACAGUCUCUGGACAGCGUUCAAGCCCCAUCUCCAAAAUCACAGAGAGCUUAGAAAGUGUCAGAGCAGAAAGUGCAGAGGUUAUAAACUCAGAUUACAAGAUGUAGGAGUGGCAUAGAUUAAUAGGGACAGAGGGGGGGAGUAUCCCUUAAUUGGGAGCACCACCAUUUCUAGGAGAUGUGUUCUUUGCUUUCUCGCGGUGAUUAUUAAAUAUUCUAACUGGUAAAACGUUCCUUUCAUUUGAUCUAUCUACUGUCAUGGAGGGGGGAGGAAGCCAAUUCCCCGAAGCCUGACAGCCUCUGUGGAAUGGAAGCAGAGUAAACUGCAGAUGAAGGGUAGGGCCAGGGCUUUUUUUCAACCGGAACUUUCCAGAAUUCGGUUCCAGCACAUCUCAGGUGGGCGCCAUUGCCAUUCUAAGAGAAAGAUGGAGGUUUCAUGGUGAGUUUGGGCACCUUUUUUCCCCUAGAAAAAUAGCACUGGGUAGGGCAGAACAAUACCAUACAUGUCAUAUCCAGUUGGAGACAUUUAGAGGCGCUUGAGGAAGAUGGUAAAUAUCCAUCUUCUCCGGUGCUGCGUUUUCACAGCAUUUUGGAAGCGGAGGGGUGGACCAGAUUCUGAAAGGUCAUUCCUUCCUUAUCAUAGGGAAGCUGCUGUGGCUUCUAUCCCCCAGGGAGGACAUCAUGAGUGCUGACUGCAAGUGAGCAAAAUAUUCUUGAGAGGCUCCUGAGGCAGUGAAAGGGGUGUAAGAACACUCGUGAGAAGAUCAUCCUGCUGGUGCGUCAAAGGGCAUGUGUGGAAAAAGCUCAGUGAACUCCAUGAUCCAAGGCAGCUGCUGUCGUCCACUGGUAGCUCCGCCACCAGCAAAGUAGCCGCCAUGACUCAUUUUACAUACAUAAUAGCUGCAGGUGUUGAUAUUUGCAGCUUGUCACAGCGUCUGCGGAGGAUAAGUAACUGUUCUUGUAAGAGCCGCAGGUAGACACCAGCGACUUAUACAGAAAUGAUUGCAAAA